AGCACAAGGUUAUAUUAAUAGUUAGCAUGUCAGUUAAUUCAAGGUAAAUGUAUAGAUAAUUAACUGAUGUCUUUUUUGCUUCUUUCAGAUUCAUGGAUAUUGUUCUAAUUUGAGACAGACUCUAAAUGAAAACAUAUCGAUCCGCACAAAAUUACGAACAUUAAUUUUUCUGGAAAAUGUUGAAAAUCGUUACUUUUUUGUCAUUUUUGGUGCUUUGAAUUACUCUACUCAUCAUUUUAUAAUAAUUUUGCUGGAAAAUAUAACGAAUCUGCUUCUCCUGAUCGCCUCAUUGAGAAGGCAAAAUUAGCAGUGCAUAGUUGGUCAAUUAAUCAAGCAUGUUACAACUUGAUUUUUAAACAAUGUGAAUCCCAAACAGGAAUUCAUUAUUAUUGCUAUGACAUUAUCUUGACUAAUGAUUAAAUUCAUUUUCAACCCUUUUAGUGGAAUAGAGUUGGUAUUGCUAAACCAAGAGUCAAUGAAAUGGUCGCCAAUGAUGAGACGAAGCUUGGAGUUAUAACAAAUAGACCAGCAAAGGUAAAACCAGCAUCAAAGCGUCCAACACGAAGUAAAAAAAGGUUAAUCUAUAAAUAUUAGAAGGUUUACAUUAAAAUUGAAUGUUUUUUUUGGA